AUUGAACGCUGGCGGCAGGCCUAACACAUGCAAGUCGAACGGUAACAGGAAGCAGCUUGCUGCUUCGCUGACGAGUGGCGGACAGGUGAGUAAUGUCUGGGAAGCUGCCUGAUGGAGGGGGAUAACUACUGGAAACGGUAGCUAAUACCGCAUAAUGUCGCAAGACCAAAGAGGGGGACCUUCGGGCCUCUUGCCAUCGGAUGUGCCCAGAUGGGAUUAGCUUGUUGGUGGGGUAACGGCUCACCAAGGCGACGAUCCCUAGCUGGUCUGAGAGGAUGACCAGCCACACUGGAACUGAGACACGGUCCAGACUCCUACGGGAGGCAGCAGUGGGGAAUAUUGCACAAUGGGCGCAAGCCUGAUGCAGCCAUGCCGCGUGUAUGAAGAAGGCCUUCGGGUUGUAAAGUACUUUCAGCGGGGAGGAAGGGAGUAAAGUUAAUACCUUUGCUCAUUGACGUUACCCGCAGAAGAAGCACCGGCUAACUCCGUG
rnacentral:rRNA from 1 species